GACGAACGCUGGCGGCGUGCUUAACACAUGCAAGUCGAACGGAAAGGCCCUGCUUUUGUGGGGUGCUCGAGAGGCGAACGGGUGAGUAACACGCGAGUAACCUGCCCUUGAAUUAGGGAUAAAUUCAGGAAACUGGGGCUAAUACAGGAUAGGAGCUCCUGCAGCACGGGGGGGAUAGGAAAGUGUCGGCGGUUUGGGCUGGACUCGCGGCUUAUCCGCUGGUUGGUGGAGUAGUGACUUACCAAGUCUAUGACGGGUAGGCGGCCUGGGAGGUUGAACGGCGACAAUGCUCCUGCGAGACGCCGCAGUCUGCUAUGGUCCGCAGCAGGCGGGAACAUUGCGCAGUGGCGGGACGCGUGAGGUGGCAAUGUCGCGUUCGUGAUGACCUGUUUCGGGUGGUAAACAGCUGUGGCCUUUGACGAACCGUGAGUGACGGUACCGGGUAAAGAAGCCCCGGCUAACUACGUG
rnacentral:rRNA from 1 species